UACGUAGGGUGCGAGCGUUGCCCGGAUUUAUUGGGCGUAAAGGGCGCGUAGGCGGCCACGCACGUCCGUUGUGAAAUCGCCCGGCUCAACUGGGCGGGGUCAGCGGAUACGGUGUGGCUAGAGCAAGCUAGGGGGCAAUGGAAUUCCCGGUGUAGUGGUGGAAUGCGUAGAUAUCGGGAGGAACACCAGUGGCGAAGGCGGUUGCCUGGAGCUUUGCUGACGCUGAUGCGCGAAAGCGUGGGGAGCGAUCCGG
rnacentral:rRNA from 1 species